ACAUCUGGUUCAUUGUAGUGAGGGAUACUGCACAUCUGGUUUAUUACUCAGAUUUGGUCAUCCAAUACAAAGACUCUUCUAUUCAAUGACUAUUCAAUUAGUUCAGUGAUGAUUUUAGCCACAUUAACGUAAUCAAAUGAGGUCAUAGGCGGCCCAUAGCAGUUUCAUAAUAACCCUGAAAUAUGUUUAAACCUCUCAACGGGUGAGGUCAGCCUGGGUAAUUCAACUGGUUUAUCCUCAACGUGCUGUUCGUUGCUUUAUUCUCUGAAGCUCCAGAGGACGUACAAACCGAACUAACUGUGAAGAAUCAAACAACACGAGUGUAACCGACUACACACCAUAAACUAACCUCCACUAUAGAGAGGAGGGAUUGUAAUUAUCUGUAAAGUCAUAUCUCAUGUUCAUGGACGACUUUAUUGCCUUUAGGUCAAGUAUUAAAUGUGUUAUAAAGAAACAAAGGUUGAAUGUCCUGUAAACUAUUUUGAACUUUCACUGCUGUUUCUAAAGCCUCUAAAAACUAACUUCUUUGUCAAAACUUUCAGACGUGUGAAUAUUUCUGUCGGUUAAACCUCCAGCUCAGUGUGUUUCCCUCACGGACGCCUCUUAAACACACACACAUGCAUCCUGUGUAAAUCUGUGUGUGUGUGUGCGUUGUGUUUCCAGCCCUCGGCCGGCCAGUAAAGGUGUAGAAGGUCUGGCCAGAGUCGGCUCCAGAGCAGCGCUCUCCUUCGCCUUUGCUUUCCUGCGUCGAGCCUGGAGGUCAGGAGACGAUGCGGACCUCUGCAGCGAGCUUCUCCAGGAGUCUCUGGAUGCGCUGCGAGCUCUACCAGAAGCCACGCUGUUCGACGAGGGAACCGUGUCGUCGGUUUGGCUCGAAGUGGUCGAGCGGGCCACCAAGUUCCUCAGUGACGUACACGGAAGCGCCAGCACCAAAGGCAACAUUCCUCUGCAGGACCAGCACCUCGCCCUGGCCAUCCUGCUGGAGCUGGCUGUGCAGAGGGGCACUCUCAGGUAAACCCUCGAUACCUCAUGACAUCCUGCUGCAGAUA